GCAAGGGUGAAACCACACAGGGGAGUCAGUGCAAGCGUCAUGGCCUCAGCCACAUCACACACUCUUGCAAAGAGGCUCCCUUGGGAAAGGGCCUUCACGGGCACUCUGAGAAAGCAAUGCUGUCAUCUGGCUCUUUCUGUCUCGGUUCUAGAGCCUUUCGUCCGGGAGUUGGGGCGAAUGUGCCUGGCGUUGCACCAGGUCGGCUUUAAUCGCCGAAGCGACCGCCCUGACCAUCAGAGUGUGUUCACAUUAUCUUUCUUAGCUGCCCUUGUUUGCAUCUGGGUCAUGCUUGCACAGGAAGUUUGUGGCAUCAGGGCCUCUGAGAAGCCCUCUGAGAGCUAUGGGAGAGUGUUUAGGGUCAGAGAACGCUGCAGGAGAAGUGAUGAGGGCCAAAGGGAGACAGCAAUGGGGAACAGACUCCAGAUGGUUUCGGGCAGAGGACACUUCUGCUGUUGUUUUGGGGAUGAACGCAAGGAGAGAUUAACAGAUAUUGGUAUCAGAUGCUUAAAAGGCUUACUGCAAAUUCUCUUUAAAAAAUCUGUAUAAGUCCAAAAAGAGAGGCCUAAGAAAAUAGCAGCAAACAGGACACUGUUCUCAGAUAUGCUCUGAGUACAAAUCUCUUGUGAAAACCUCUGGGCCGGAGCUGUGAUAUGACUGCGCCUUAGAUAGGAUAAGAAAAUCUGAGGUUUUUGAUAGAUCGUUUAAGCAAAAGACAGUCUCCAAAGGACGUGGAAAUUCCAUCCUCCAAAAAAAGAGGGGGCUGUUCUCACAGACAGUGGGAAGAUGAGCUGCACAGAGUGUUUGCGACUGAUAAUGGCGAAGGAGAAAUAAGGCAAAUGUUCUCACAAAAAGUGUGUUUGGUAGCAUUAAAGAAUGACAAGUCAGUAAGGCUGAACACCUGUUCUCCUUCUGGAGAUGGAACAGUCUCAAGGGCCACAGGGAGAUCACGGAAGCUCGGGACACACAGAAUCAGUGGGGCAGGCGAAAGAAGACGCGAAUGGAAGACACAGGAGAGAAAUACGUCAAGACAUGUGACACCCAAGAGAUGUUGUAUGAUGUGGCUAGUUCUUCUACAAUGCUACAGAAGAAAGGAAAAGAAACUGAAAAGAAAUUACAUGUCCAAAGGGACAGAACGGCAGAGUUGGAUCUAAAUUCCAGCCGGGGGACUCCAGAGCCUUUAUUCUUCUUUCCACUGAACUCCACCAAUCAGUGACUGUGAAUCUCGGUCAGCUGACACGAGCCAGCUCUGUUCAGGAGUAAAUGGUAAGCAUUUUCCUAGAACGUCCCUUCUCAGAUAAAUUUGGAGACUAUAGAAGGUAGGCAAUUUAUGACUCACUUUCCUUUCUUCUUAUGUGUGCAUGUAUGUAUUUUAAAUCUUGAAACCAAUCACUCAAAAACUGCCCUAGUGUUGCACAGUGCAGGUUUACAUAACUGGUUUUCAACCAAAGAUUAUUUUAACUCACGGAGACAUCUGGCACCAUCUGGAGAAAUUAUUGGUUCUCACAACUGGGGUGACAUCUACCCUCUAUCUAGUGGGUAGAGGCUAGGGAUGUGGCUAAAUAUCCUGUAAAACACAGAGCAAGACCACAGGAAUUUUCUACCCUCCAAAUUGAACCACAGUGCUGUGGUAAGAAACCGGCAGGAGACCCAUCAAGGGCGUCAUGAAGCAUGAGCCUCAGGAGGGGUCUUGAAGAUUGUCUAGCUCAGUUUCCUCUUAGAUGAAUAAACUGUGUCUCCAGGAGGAGACGUGGAAUCCUAGUGAGGAAUGAAACCUAGAAGGUUGAUUCUUGGUUAAAAAAUGUUCAAAAGCAAGUGCUGAAACUCAGGAAUUCUUACAUGACCCCAUUUCCCCCACAGAUUUGUUUACAUCUUGUUCUGAAAUCCUCUCCUUCCUGGCAAGUCCUGUUAGGAGACCCCCCCCACUCACUGAUCCCAAAAGUUGCCUCUCUUCUCUUUCUUCUGCUUAUUGUUUCUAUGUUGACAGUUUAACCCAUCCAGUUCUAUCACUUACUUCUCUUUAAAUAAACCUUUAAUCCAAGUUCAAUAUACAAUAGUAAAGUACAGAAAUAGUGAGCAUGAUUGGUAAAUAUUUACAAAGUGAACAAUUCCUAUAAUCACAACCUGAUUCAAGAGCUAGGACCUUACCAGCACCCCAGAAGUCCUCCUUAUCCUUCUGCUCAAAGGCAACUUCUACCCUGUCUUUUAAUGGCAGAGGCUCAUUUUGCCUGUGUUUGAGCCAUAUAUGGAUUGAACUAUAUGCAUUAUUUAUUUAUUAUUUCCCUUCUUUUACUACACUGUAGUGUGUAGCACUAAUGCAUUCUUUCUCUUUGCUAUAUAAUAUUCCAUUAAUAGAUAUACCACUAUUUAUUUAUGCAUGCUACCAUUGCUUUGUUUCUAGUUUGGACUAUAAUGAAAAACAUGUCACUACUGUGAGCAAUUUUGUACAUCUCUUUAUGUGGAUGACACAUUCAUUUCUGUUAUGUCUACACUUUGGUGUGGGAUUGCUGGGUCCCAGGGUUAGUUGAUAGUGCCAAAAUAUAUUCUGAACUGGUCGGGCCAAUUUAUACUCCCAUCAAUAAUGUAAGUGAUUUCCAGUUGCUCUACCUCCUUGCCAAUACCUGGUAAACCUCCAUCUUUUUUUUUUUACCCAUAGGUCACUACAGAGUCUGGGAAAUGGAAGCCCAGGAUUAAGACUGAAAAAAACCCAAUAACCCACAAAUUGUGGUUAAAUGACUAAAUAGAGUUUCCACAGAUAGGUUAAAAAGAAUACAGAAGAUUCAGUUAAAUUUGAGUAAGUAUGUCCCAAGCAAUCCAAGCAUACUGAGGCAAUAAAAAAUUAUUUAUUCUU